UCGCGGAGCAGCCUCGCGGUGAUUGGACGUACGGGCGGGGGGGGCGCGGGAGUGUCGCGUGCGCCCGCCGCUAGGGCAGUUAGAGGCGCGGGGAUCCGGGCUGAGCCGGCGGCUGCUGGGAGGCUGUGUCCGGACGCCGGCGGGGCCACGCGGCCCGGCUCUGCUUGCCUGAGAACCGGGAGGACGCUGGAGAAAAGCUGCCCUGUGAAUCUUUCUUUGGCUGUCCAGGCUCCCCUUGACUCCAAAUGUUCCGUUGAAAACAGAUGCACAGAUGAUAGUGUGGAACAAAGUGGAACAAAGAAAGAAGAUCUGGAUGACAAAGAGAAAAGUGAUGAAGAAGAAAUUCCUGCACCUGUGCACAGCGCAAGUCAAUUCUGCACAGCGGGUUAUGGGGCGACCAGAGAAUCUUGUGCGUUUUGACACUUAGGAAAGCUUAAUCUGACGCUCCUUAUCUAAAUAACUUGGAUGGAUUAUUAGUAUUUUUGGUAACAAUUUUUUUGUUUUGUUUUUUUUGAGGCAGAGUCUAACUCUGUCGCCCAGGCUGGAGUGCAGUGGCGCAAUCUCGGCUCACUGCAAGCUCUGCCUCUCGGGUUCAUGCAAUUCUCCUGCCUCAGCCUCCCGAGUAGCUGGGACUACAGGCACCUGCCACCACACCCGGCUAAUUUUUUGUAUUUUUAGUAGAGACGGAGUUUCACUGUGGUAGCCAGGAUGGUCUGAGUCUCUUGACCUUGUGAGCCACCACACCUGGCCCAGUAUACAUCUGUAACUUGUGACUGUCCACUUUCUU
rnacentral:lncRNA from 1 species